GGAAACCCCAGUCCUUCCACCCUCCCACGGAGACACCGACUCAACAAUACACAGAUAAACUCUCUGUGAGAAAUCCAGAAGGCAGUUCAGAGGCUCCUUCACACCAGUUUCUGAGAUUCCAGUUCAAGCCUUCAACACAUGGACCUUUGCAGGACAUUCAAAAUUCAAGCUACAGCUAUUUCCAUUUGAGUCAUUGAAGGAGAUGCCACCCGAAGAACUAGGAAGUGACUAUCUCCCAAAUUAACAAGUGGAUUUCAAUUCACCAUCAGGAUGCACCUGGAACACCCCAGCCCCAGGUCAGAGCACACCUGGAAUGUAGCCUUUGAAUAGCUCCUUUAAAAGCCCUAUGUUUUCCCUGAUGGUCAGAAUCACAGCCUCCAGUACUGGAGUCCCCUGUGUUUCUCCUUUGCUAGCAAGGCAAAAAACAAACAAACAAAAAAAAAAAAAAAAAAACUUUCCUUUUUCUUAAAACC